UACGUAGGGUGCGAGCGUUAAUCGGAAUUACUGGGCGUAAAGCGCGCGCAGGCGGUCCUUUAAGUCUGAUGUGAAAGCCCACGGCUCAACCGUGGAAGGUCAUUGGAAACUGGAGGACUUGAGUACAGAAGAGGAAAGCGGAAUUCCACGUGUAGCGGUGAAAUGCGUAGAGAUGUGGAGGAACACCAGUGGCGAAGGCGGCUUUCUGGUCUGUAACUGACGCUGAGGCGCGAAAGCGUGGGGAGCAAACAGG
rnacentral:rRNA from 1 species